rnacentral:rRNA from 1 species
AUGUACAUAGUUUUGCAACAGCGUCUUCUUGUUUCCAAUGGCUUUGGCCUGAAUGGAUCUCCCUCUGCCUCUUUUUCUGGGAUCAGUGCAUCAUUGUCACUUCCCGGCAAGUCCCAGCACCAGCAGCAGCAACCGCCGUCGUUGUCGAUGGCAGGGUUCGGCAGCCUGGCGCCCAAGACGAAGAACGUGGUGGUGGCGGGCGGGCUGACGGGGUUCGUCUUUGGGGUGUACUACUACACCAUGUGGGCGGUGGGCAGCACCGACGAGCUGCAGGUCACCAUCGACAAGUUUGAGGACCUGAAGAAGAAGGAGGAGGCCGCCGCCACAAGCUCCUCCACCCCAGGAUCAUCAUAA